rnacentral:rRNA from 1 species
GGGUUGUGAGGUUAAGCGACUAAGCGUACACGGUGGAUGCCCUGGCAGUCAGAGGCGAUGAAGGACGUGCUAAUCUGCGAUAAGCGUCGGUAAGGUGAUAUGAACCGUUAUAGAAAAGAAAUCAACCGAGAUUCCCCCAGUAGCGGCGAGCGAACGGGGAGSAGCCCAGAGCCUGAAUCAGUGUGUGUGUUAGUGGAAGCGUCUGGAAAGGCGCGCGAUACAGGGUGACAGCCCCGUACACAAAAAUGCACAUAYUGUGAGCUCGAUGAGUAGGGCGGGACACGUGGUAUCCUGUCUGAAUAUGGGGGGACCAUCCUCCAAGGCUAAAUACUCCUGACUGACCGAUAGUGAACCAGUACCGUGAGGGAAAGGCGAAAAGAACCCCGGCGAGGGGAGUGAAAAAGAACCUGAAACCGUGUACGUACAAGCAGUGGGAGCCUCUUUUAUGGGGUGACUGCGUACCUUUUGUAUAAUGGGUCAGCGACUUAUAUUCUGUAGCAAGGUUAACCGAAUAGGGGAGCCGAAGGGAAACCGAGUCUUAACUGGGCGUUAAGUUGCAGGGUAUAGACCCGAAACCCGGUGAUCUAGCCAUGGGCAGGUUGAAGGUUGGGUAACACUAACUGGAGGACCGAACCGACUAAUGUUGAAAAAUUAGCGGAUGACUUGUGGCUGGGGGUGAAAGGCCAAUCAAACCGGGAGAUAGCUGGUUCUCCCCGAAAGCUAUUUAGGUAGCGCCUCGUGAAYUCAUCUCCGGGGGUAGAGCACUGUUUCGGCAAGGGGGUCAUCCCGACUUACCAACCCGAUGCAAACUGCGAAUACCGGAGAAUGUUAUCACGGGAGACACACGGCGGGUGCUAACGUCCGUCGUGAAGAGGGAAACAACCCAGACCGCCAGCUAAGGUCCCAAAGUCAUGGUUAAGUGGGAAACGAUGUGGGAAGGCCCAGACAGCCAGGAUGUUGGCUUAGAAGCAGCCAUCAUUUAAAGAAAGCGUAAUAGCUCACUGGUCGAGUCGGCCUGCGCGGAAGAUGUAACGGGGCUAAACCAUGCACCGAAGCUGCGGCAGCGACGCUGAUGCGUUGUUGGGUAGGGGAGCGUUCUGUAAGCCUGUGAAGGUGUGCUGUGAGGCAUGCUGGAGGUAUCAGAAGUGCGAAUGCUGACAUAAGUAACGAUAAAGCGGGUGAAAAGCCCGCUCGCCGGAAGACCAAGGGUUCCUGUCCAACGUUAAUCGGGGCAGGGUGAGUCGACCCCUAAGGCGAGGCCGAAAGGCGUAGUCGAUGGGAAACAGGUUAAUAUUCCUGUACUUGGUGUUACUGCGAAGGGGGGACGGAGAAGGCUAUGUUGGCCGGGCGACGGUUGUCCCGGUUUAAGCGUGUAGGCUGGUUUUCCAGGCAAAUCCGGAAAAUCAAGGCUGAGGCGUGAUGACGAGGCACUACGGUGCUGAAGCAACAAAUGCCCUGCUUCCAGGAAAAGCCUCUAAGCAUCAGGUAACAUCAAAUCGUACCCCAAACCGACACAGGUGGUCAGGUAGAGAAUACCAAGGCGCUUGAGAGAACUCGGGUGAAGGAACUAGGCAAAAUGGUGCCGUAACUUCGGGAGAAGGCACGCUGAUAUGUAGGUGAAGUCCCUCGCGGAUGGAGCUGAAAUCAGUCGAAGAUACCAGCUGGCUGCAACUGUUUAUUAAAAACACAGCACUGUGCAAACACGAAAGUGGACGUAUACGGUGUGACGCCUGCCCGGUGCCGGAAGGUUAAUUGAUGGGGUYAGCGCAAGCGAAGCUCUUGAUCGAAGCCCCGGUAAACGGCGGCCGUAACUAUAACGGUCCUAAGGUAGCGAAAUUCCUUGUCGGGUAAGUUCCGACCUGCACGAAUGGCGUAAUGAUGGCCAGGCUGUCUCCACCCGAGACUCAGUGAAAUUGAACUCGCUGUGAAGAUGCAGUGUACCCGCGGCAAGACGGAAAGACCCCGUGAACCUUUACUAUAGCUUGACACUGAACAUUGAGCCUUGAUGUGUAGGAUAGGUGGGAGGCUUAGAAGUGUGGACGCCAGUCUGCAUGGAGCCGACCUUGAAAUACCACCCUUUAAUGUUUGAUGUUCUAACGUUGACCCGUGAUCCGGGUUGCGGACAGUGUCUGGUGGGUAGUUUGACUGGGGCGGUCUCCUCCUAAAGAGUAACGGAGGAGCACGAAGGUUGGCUAAUCCUGGUCGGACAUCAGGAGGUUAGUGCAAUGGCAUAAGCCAGCUUGACUGCGAGCGUGACGGCGCGAGCAGGUGCGAAAGCAGGUCAUAGUGAUCCGGUGGUUCUGAAUGGAAGGGCCAUCGCUCAACGGAUAAAAGGUACUCCGGGGAUAACAGGCUGAUACCGCCCAAGAGUUCAUAUCGACGGCGGUGUUUGGCACCUCGAUGUCGGCUCAUCACAUCCUGGGGCUGAAGUAGGUCCCAAGGGUAUGGCUGUUCGCCAUUUAAAGUGGUACGCGAGCUGGGUUUAGAACGUCGUGAGACAGUUCGGUCCCUAUCUGCCGUGGGCGCUGGAGAACUGAGGGGGGCUGCUCCUAGUACGAGAGGACCGGAGUGGACGCAUCACUGGUGUUCGGGUUGUCAUGCCAAUGGCACUGCCCGGUAGCUAAAUGCGGAAGAGAUAAGUGCUGAAAGCAUCUAAGCACGAAACUUGCCCCGAGAUGAGUUCUCCCUGACYCYUURAGRGUCCUGAAGGAACGUUGAAGACGACGACGUUGAUAGGCCGGGUGUGUAAGCGCAGCGAUGCGUUGAGCUAACCGGUACUAAUGAACCGUGAGGCUUAACCUUACAACGCCGAAGMUGUU